GGUGAAAAGCACCCCGGAAGGGGAGUGAAAUAGAACCUGAAACCGUGUGCUUACAAGUAGUCAGAGCCCGUUAAUGGGUGAUGGCGUGCCUUUUGUAGAAUGAACCGGCGAGUUACGAUUUGAUGCAAGGUUAAGCAGUAAAUGUGGAGCCGUAGCGAAAGCGAGUCUGAAUAGGGCGUUUAGUAUUUGGUCGUAGACCCGAAACCAGGUGAUCUACCC
rnacentral:rRNA from 1 species